GUUCAAUGAGCAGUGCCAUGUCUGUGCCCAGGAUUCGAACCAAUGAAACACUGGGCCGCCUGCAGCGGAGCGCGCGAACUUAACCACUCGGCCACGGGGCCAGCCCCCAAACCAGAACACUUUUGAGAGCGAAAAAAAGUGUCAUUAGUAAUUAUGGAGGGGAACAGUUAUCCUUUACAGGAGAUGAUGCUGGGGGGCAUGCUAAAGCUCUGAAGAGAUCCUGAGGUCCUUCAGAGUGGAUCUGUUUUAUUGCCCAGGGCAAUGGCAGCCACUGAAGAACAGGGCAGACUGGUGACCAGAUCAGAUCUAGGUUUUACAGUUCUCUCUCCUCUCUUGACUUCAGAACAUUAUCCUAAAUGAAGUCCGCCAAGUUUAGAGAAUAGACCAUGUUUCUACAAUUCAUUUGAGGAUGUCAUUCAGCUUUAAUCUUUAUAAGAUCCUAACGUAAUGCUAAAAGUGCACUUAGCUAUUAAAAUCAGACGUAAAGGUGGCAGUCCGAGGAGUCCACAGUGCAAAUACCUGGUUCUAGAAUAACAUCAUUUAUAUAACAAUAUCAACAUUCAUUCAUUCAUUAUGUAUUAAACACCUAAUAUUUACUGUUUACUCCUUUAGGUACUGGGGAAACAGUGAAUGAGGCAGGCGAGGUUCCUGUCUUUUUGGAGCUCACACUCUAGCAGAAGAGAUGACAAUAAUUAAAUAAAUACGUAAGAAAAUUUCAGGUAUUGACAAAUGUUGAGGGAAAAAUCCAAUCAAGAUAAGGGGUUAGGAGGUUGGAGAGUGACUAGUAGUCGGGAGAUGGUAUUUUAAUUAAUUUGGAUAGAGAUAACCUCCUGGAAGGAGUAGGCAUUGAAUGCAGUGAGGGAGUGAGCCAUGUGCCGGGCUGAGGUUUGAAUGUUUCAAACAGAAGAAACAGGAAGUGCAAAGGUCCCGAGGUAGGAACAAGCUUGGUGAGUUGGAAGAACAGAAAGAACCUCAAAUCCUUUCUGAUCAAGCCACUCCUAACUCCAGAGCACGGCCUACAAUGCUUCACAUGAUCUGGCCUUUACCUACCUAUCCUACCUGUUAUAUAAGUCCUACAGGUUGGGAGGGAACUAUGGUCUGCAAGUGGGGUGUCCUCAAGGGGGUGAGGGAAUCCUGGUACCUCUCCUUCCUUAACCUUAUUCGCCUAACUCUCUUACUCCAACAGCAUUGUUUCAAGAGAAAGGAGGGAAGUUUAACACAUAUUGAACAUCUACAGGUAUCCUGGCAGAGUGCUUUACGAAUGCCAUUUUAUUUAAGCCUUAUGAGACUGGCAAUAUUGUCACCACUUUGCAGGUGAAGAAACAGACUCAAAAAGGUUAAAUAACUUUUCCAUGGUUAUACUCCAUUAAAAGAUAGUUUCAGGUCUUUCAUCACAAAAUGUCUUUCAAUGUCCUGAAACCAUAAGUCCUAUCACCUAGGAUAUGCCAAUAGCACUUUCUACCUAAAAGUCAGUCCCUAACAGCAACUGUAAGACACGAUUUGUAGAAAACUACCUUAUCUAUUUUCCAUGAGGAAACCUCAAAGACCAGGAUAUAAACCUUGUAUAUAGUGUAGUACCCAAAAAAAUAAGAAGAAAAGAAAGCUCACAAUAAAUAAGAAAACCAGGAUUAUAAUUCUGAUGCUGCAACUUAUUAGGCCUAGGAGCUUGGCAUGCCUCUUAGUGCCUAUGAGUCAAGUUUCCUGAUCUGCAAACUGGGUGUUAUUUAUUUAUUUUUUUUGAGGAAGGUUAGCCCUGAGCUAACGUCUGCCGCCAAUCCUCCUCUUCUCACUGAGGAAGGCUGACCCUGAGCUAACAUCCAUGCCCAUCUUCCUCUACUUUAUAUGUGGGACGCCUACCACAGCAUGACGUACUAAGCAGUGCCAUGUCUGCACCCAGGAUCCGAACCGGCGAAUCCCAGGCCGUCAAAGCGGAACGUGCGCACUUAACCGCUGCGCCACCGGCCGGCCCAGGGUGUUAGAAUUUAAGUCUAGCUCAUGUACGCGUGAAAGUGCUUUGAAAAGAGAAACGAUAUACACAUAAAAGAAAUUAUUAAGUUUCUUUAUUGUAAACGUAUUUGCCAAUAGCAAAAUGCCCUAGUGAAUGAUGGGUUCAGUUUCUGAGGUUUGGAAUAUUCAAACACACACAACUAUUGGAGUGAUAAAUAAUUGGAGACUUCUCUCCGUUGGUUAAACAGAGUACUUUUGCCCUUCCGUCUUUUUCAUCCUUGAACUUUAAAGACUAUCCAGAGGGGAUAAGGAGAUGUUUACGCUACUGCCAAGUGAGAUAAACUAUGGGCGUUUCUUCUUUUUAGGCACUAAAAAAAGAACAAUUAUUUCUAGAAACUGAAAAAAAGAGAGAAGGAAAGGAAGGAAGAAUGGACGGCAGUUGCCUGGUUCGUGGUAUCAAGAUCUGUGCAGUCCAGAGGAAACGACACGUGAGCCUCCAUCCGGAUUCUGUGACUCACGUGCUUGUGACCACCAACUUCUGGUCACCCACCAAGUUUCAAAUAAUUUCCUAGAGCAGUUUAAAUAUUUAUUUGUGUGUGUGUGUCUGUGCUUUUUUGUAAUACUUGGAUAAGGAAUAAUAGCAAUAAUGGAAACCUAAAAAUAAUUGAUGUGAUGGGGUACUGGACUGAUGAACAGACUUGUCUCUAAUUUCCUUUAUUCUUGUUACGAUAAUUGUGCAACAAAUGAAAAUAGUAAGGAAAACAGGUGACAGUGGAGAGUGGUGAAUGAGGAGGGAGGAGAGGGCAUGAGCCCGUUUUAGGAACAAGCAGUUCUCUAUAUGGCGGGCUCUCAGCUGUCCAGGUUCAAAAAACUCACAAUAAAAUGCUUUUGCAUUCAAGUUUACUAGAUUUGGAAGUAAAAGCCCUGUUCCAACCCCACUGCUUCCUGCUUCUUAGUUUCCCUGAGCUUCCAUCUCCUCCUCCACGAAUGGGAUCAUAACCUGCUCUUACCUAAUUUAUUUUGCAAAGAUGGAAAAGGAAAGUUCAAAUGAGGUAAUUAUGUGAAGAAAAAUGUUAUUUUAGGAUCCCGAGACUUUGUGUUUUUCAAUUAAUUAUAUUUGACGAUUGGAAUUACUUGGACUAGCCAUAGAAUUUCCCAGUUGCUAGGGGGAGCUUGAUGUCAUGAUGAUGUUGGUCUGUUACAGCUGAUGGUGGUUAAUUUCUCUCUUUCAGGGAGUCAGCAAAACCAUGGAAAUUUAGGCAUGGAUUUUGGAGUCAGAUAUGACGUGUGUUUGGGAGGCCUCGGACCAUUAACUCAGGCUCCCUGAGCCUGUUUCCUGUUCUGUAAAACGGGGAUAGUAAAGCCUACCUUGCAGGGCUGCUAAAAAAUUGGGAACAAUGUGUGUAAAGCACCAGACAUUGAGUUGGCCACGCAGUAAGCCCCGAAUCUAUGGUGGCUGUUAUUGUUAUAAGAGCAUCAAUUUUUAAAUAUUCUCCCUCGUCUCCCCACUCCCACAGUUCAUACAUAAAAGCACAAGGACGCGUGUUGCUUAGAAGCUCCUGAUCCACUGUUCUUCCAGUCCUUGGAAGAAUUUUCUAACUCAGUACACUAGGAGCAAGGCCAAUAUCUUAGAUGAUUCUGUUCUAGAAAGGUGCUUAAACACAGUCAAGAUAUAGUGUAGUUUUACCAAGAAAGCGGGACUUUGCUAUAAACUAUCACCCUGGAGACAAGACUGAAAAAAAAAAAUCAAGGCCACGUGCCUACCCACAGCAGGAGAAAUAUACAAAGUCAAGAUUUCUGUCAGCAUAUUAUGCUUCUGGUUGUUUACAUAAAAACAUGUCUUGGACAGUAAUUAUGCAUUUUUCAGAACUGGGCCAGCUCUGGGAAUGCAAAGCUGAGAGGCAGCAGUCACUGCGGUUACUUUCAGUUUCAACUGUCAGGUUGGGAGUUAGAGGGGCAUGGGUUUGAAUGCUAGUUUAGCACCAUAAGUGACCACUGGUCCACUGCUUACUAGCUAAGUGACGUGGUGCAAGCUGAUCAGUCUCUCGGAAAAUCAGUUUUUACAUUGGGAGUUGGAUAAAAACCAAGUGUCUGCUGCAGAGAAAAAAGAAUGAAUUUGGAAAAUGAAUUAAAGGGCCUGGGUCUGGCACAUGAUAGGUGUAGGUGUUUAGAAGAUGGUAAUAGUGGUUGUUAUUAGCAGCGAUGAGAUGAAGUCUUCAUCUUGGAGGAAUGCUCGGCAUAGCAGCAGAAAAAAUGUACGUGAAUAAAGUCCUGAAUAAAUUCAAAGUAUGUGUUCACAGUGCUUCAGUAUUAUGAAAGCAGAAAGGGUGAAGCCCAUGUGACGUGGAAAGAUCGAAGGGGGCUUCAAAGAGAAACAUUUGAGCCUCACCUUGAAAGAUGGGUAGAAAUUCUCCAAGAGGAAAGGGAGAGAAGAAGCACAAGGUGGCACAAGGGUACAGAGGAUGAGGCUUGGGCAGGGAUGUUGUCCUGUGUCUUGAGUUAGCAGUGUCACAUGGUUAAGAAUGGUGGGAGAUGAGGUGGAAAGACAGUGCUGCUCCAGGCUGGAAAUGGCUUUGUACACCCAAAUGGCGCUGACCUUGGUUUCUUGAGCAAGAGACAGCCAAUGAAGUUGUGUUGGGCGUCCUCCAUUUGCUCCUCCAGUCAGCCUUCACUUACCUCCAUUUGCUCCUGAACUAGGGGGCUGAGCUGUUGCGGACCACAUCAACGAGCUCCCUCCCGCUCAGGCUUCCAGUAGGUUUUGGCCAACGGAACACAGGGAAGAAAUCAAAAGGAAGACUGAGACUGGGGUAUAUAUUCUUUUGACAAAAGAUCACAGCAUCCAUCAGGCCGCCUUCCCACACAGCUCUCUCUUCCUGGGAUCCAUGAGCCUCUCUCCCAAGGCCUCCGACAGAGAGGUGGUGAAUGCACCUCACCGGUACUGGUACCAAGUAUGGAACCAUCAUAAGAGAUGGUUUACAAAUAGUCCUUUUAUUACCUCUUCUUAAAUUACCCAAUAUGAAGUACCAAACGUUUCCUGCCAGGCCCCUGACUGAUAUAUAACUUAAAUAGGGAAUAAAGUCAAUGUGUUUCUGGGGGAGGGCUAGGGCAGAGAGACCACGGCACUAACACCAGAAGACAUGAAGUCACAGGCCAUACAAUUUAUGUAAAGAACAAUGGUUUGUCUGUUCCUUUGUGGCUGCUAGUCUGGAACCACAUGGAGACAUGGCGUGGCUUCUUGGAGAGUGUCCUCAGCCUGGUCUCUAAGUGAGCCACUCAUGACGAGAUUGAAGGGUGACCCUGUGAAAUGCUGUUACCCAUCUCCAUGAGUGGACUGACUUCAAGAGGAAGGCCUUGAAAUAAGCCGUCUCAUGUCAAAUUGUUCUUCUUAUUAGGAUAGCUACAGAAGAUGGACAAAAGGUGGAAGUGUUGUGAGUGACUGAUGUGGCCGACUUAAGAAGAAAAGUCCCCUUUUCUAGGCCUGUUUUUCCUUUGCAAGGAACCAAUAGAGUUUCUCUUCUCCACCUUGGCCCUUCAUCUUACCCCAGGAAGGUAGGAACCGGCUACUCCCUCUCUUCCCACUGCUGUCCAUCCUGUGCUCUGGGAAGCACAGUUACUUUUUAUGGCUCUCCCCAGGGAGUUUGAAUUUUGAGCCUCAGCUUUAAUUAUGUAAUGAAAACAUAUGUUUCCUAUUGCAAGAAUUUUAGACAGCAGUGAGGAGGAGGGAGAGAUGGGGUGAGGCUGUGAGGGGAGAGAGGACUAAGUGACUUCCACUGAGCAGUAAUUACAGCGGAGAGUAGAAGACCAUUCGCAGACCUCCGAGGCUGAGCUGGAAGCAUUUCAUUCAAUAAUCAUUUAGCAUUGAGAGCUGUGUAUGCAGGGCACUGCCGAGCUUUGGGGAAAUACAAAGUGGAGUGGAAGGGGGAUAGUGUGAGAAGAGGGAUGAGACCUGUACACACAUGUGUGAGUAGGUGAAGGAACUAGGAUGCGGGUUUAGAAGACGAGAUGAGAUCAGGUUGCAGGAACUUGAUUAUAGAGACAGUAUUUGAAUCAGGUCUUGAAAGACGGGUAGACAUGGAAGUAGCAGGGGUUUUCUGGGCAGCCUUCCCCAUCCUUGCCACUUCCCUUGCCCUGCUCCCCCAAAGCAAUGAACCUGCUUCAUUGUGUUUAGAGAACAAGUUCAAAUAUUUGAUGAGUAAGUAUUACAUAGAUAAAAUUUAACCAGGAUAUGCUUCAGGGUGGUCUGUGACAAAUCAUAUUUUGCGUAGGCUUCUUCGCCUCAACCACACCAGCGGUAAAUAAAUAUUUGCUUCUAAUUACAGAAUUAAUACACAAAUAGUUUUUGAUCAUAAAAAGAUUCAAGCAUUAUAGGCAUAACAGAAGUUCUCUUUGAAAUCACCACCCCCAAACCCAUAUUUACGUCUAGAAGUAUAUUGUUCUGUGUGUGGGUCUGUGGUUGCGUAAUGGUAUCGUACUGUGUGUUCGUGCCACAGUCUGCAUUUAUUACUCAAUAUAUCUUGGAGCUCAUUCUGAGUGGCUUCACAGAGAUCUGCCCUCAUUCUUUGUAAUCCUACCUACAUUUGUUUGUUUCUCGGGAUAGUUUUGGAAACACUUUCCAUAACUCUUUUGGAAACUUUCCUUACAAUAAGAAUCACCCAGAAACAUUCAGAGCCCUCCCCAAGACUGGUUUUCCAUAGGAUUGGGAAGAAGGUUGGAGAAAUUAUUUGCAACCAACAUCCCAGGUGAGUUUAUUGUUCAGCAAGUCUGAAAACUCUAUCAUGGUUUAUUUAACCAUUUCCCUAACAAAGGACGUUUAAAUAGUUUGAAUGUUUUCUAUUACCAGCAACGCAGCAAUGCACAUCCUUUACAUCCUUCCUAGUGCGUGUGUAUUUUUCUGAGAUUGGUAACUGAGAAAUGGAAUUGGUGGGUCAUGUGGUGUGUGCACUUUAAGAUUGUAUUAGAUACUGCCAAAUUGCCUCCUAAUGUGGCUGUAGCAACGUGUGGUCUCAACACUGUAUCAUUAACAUGUGUUUUUCUUAUAUUAAAAAACGAACUACAUUCUAGCUUUCCUCACAUCCUAACAUCAAGUUUUCCCAGAACUCAUCACCAUAUCCCGCCUCUCUCAAUCUGUGCUUUACUGUUCCAGUUAAGGGAACUGAAGCCCACCCAGAUACUCAAGCCCAAAAUCUGGGCGUCUUCUUCAGUUCCUCUUAUUCUUCUCACCCCCCAGCACUAAUUGGCCACAAAGCUUUAGCAAUUUUCCCACUUUACUAUCUGUAGACUCCUGGAUGUCUACCAUCACUACUUAAUUCAAUUCUGUCUUGUUUUUUUUUCAUCUUAGACAAUAUAAUAAACUCCUCAUGCUCUUGCUUCCCUUCCCUCCUAAAACUCAUACAUGUUAAUUAUAUCAGCUCACUGAUUACAACUCUUCAAUGUCUACCAGUUGCCACCAAAGUCAACCUCACACUUAAGAAUUUGCAAAGAAUAUAAAAUCACCACCUUUUGCAGGUGGACUUAUCAAAGUCCUGCUCAAUGGAAUUGUUAUCUAUGAAGAACUUUUUUGAAGGAUAUGCAGCCUAUCCAUUCUUCUAGCUAUUCUAGAUUUUAUUCAUUGAAAAAUCAUAAACAAUAUUUGGUGCAUGCUAUUGUGGUUCCUUGUAGAACUGCUUUCUAUGAGUUCUUGUUUGCUUUAUGUCUUCCUUUGAAGAAGCACCGCAAAAAACUGUAUACCUACAAAAUCUAGAACAAUGCAUUAUUUACAUAAAUAUUGUCAUAUGCAUGUAUGUAUAUCUACACACACAUACACACACACACACACUCAUAUCAAAUUGAAACCCAAUAGGAAAAAUCCAAACUUAGUCAUCUGCCCCAGGAUGUCUUUUCUGGUUAUUUUUACCUACUAUACAUUAUGUAAUCCCAGACCUACUUACUCUUCCCUGCAUGAGCCAAGCCUUUUUAUGCCUCUGUGCUGUAUCUUCUGCCUAGGAUCCUUCCCCCACUCACCUCUUAUUAAACUAAGGAACUCUAACUCAGCCGAAAGACCAACUCAAAUUCACUCCGGGUAAGCUGAGUCGCUCCUUCCUCUGGGUUCCCAUUGUAUGUGAAUAUAUAUGUAUAUGUAUAUGAAGCACGUUGUAUAUGAAUCUUAGCACUUCUCACAUUCCUUUGCAGUUGUGUUUUUAAUGAAUCUACCCUCUCUUCUAGAUUGUGUAUUUCCCUAAGGCAUGGUAUACCUGUCUUCUUCAUCUUUAUAUUCCUCAUAUUGCCAAAUGGAAAAUGUGGAACCUCAUAUGCACAGUAGUUGUUUAACAAAUAUUUAUUUAAAAAAUGAAUAUUUAGCCCUAGGUCUUUUUGCUAUAAAGCAGUGGCAACUUCUUUUAAUCUUCCUUCCAUUCAUUGCAGCAACCUGCAGCCCCUGAAAUGGCCGUGACUGCCCCAACGAUCAAAACUUCUGUGGACAGCUGUGAAUGCAGAAGAGAAGACUGACCUGAGAAGGACAUUUUGUCCCCUGACUGUUGGUACAGAAUACCUGUGGCAGGAUGAGUGUGUCCAGAGGACACAGCCUGCCAUGUCUGAGGCUAUCCUUCUGCCUAGCAGCCUGGGUUGUGGGGUAAGAGCUGAGGCUGGAUUGGGGAAAUUGGAAUACACUAUACCUUUUUUCCUUUUGACAGUGCAACCUCUUCCUAGGGAAGGCUCAAAAACCUUGGAUAUCAUAUCAUUCCACAAAAGGAAAGUUUGCUGAGUUUGUUUUUAAUAUAUCAGAAACAUAUGUAUUAAAUUCCGUUAAAAUGCAGAGAACUUUUUAGUAUCAUAGAACUUAGUAAAUAUUUUCCACUUUAAAGUUGUGUCCUUUGACAAGUCAGAGAACACGUCUUUGGUUUCUGUCCCGUAUAUGAGAUAAAUACCACAAAUGUGUUUUGGAAAAGAAAGCAAAUUUAAAAAAGGAAAUAAAGCAAGCCAAAGACCCAUCACAAUUACUACAACAGAAUGAAGAACAAUUGGGUGUAGCAAGAAGGAACUCUUCCUUAGAUCCUAGUAGAUGUGCCGUGGGUAUGGUAAAAGCAUAACGAAACUAGCAAUUUCCACUGGACACUGUGGAGGGGAUGGGGAGAGAAAGGGAGAGGGAGGAUGGUGCCUGCUGACUGGAAAGGCCUUACUCCUGCCCUUGGGUUAAGGCUUCCUGGGAGGCCUUCACAUACCACCAAGGAGUUCCAUCCAGGGAUUAUCCAGUUUCCCAUGAUGAUGUUUAAUUUGGAGGUUUUCUCAAUUUUUGAGCCUGAGUCUCUGUUUAUGACUGAGUUCGUGCCAAAUUGUGUUACUUUCCCUGUACCUGGCUAACAGGAGAAGAUCGUUAGUAGACCUGACACAUAAGAGACACGCUAGCAGCAUGCAAAGGCCGAGGAGUUGCACAGGCAGCUGUGGAAGGAGGAUUCACAGAGAAGCAGUAAGAAAUUGGGUCAUCAACCAGCACUCAGUGGCUUGGGCAUGGGGACCCACGAGAACCUGCUGUAGCCUAUGCUCUUGAAGGGCUGAGAUUCAGUUUCAGCAAAACGUCACCAGCUGUCACAUUACGUUAGUGUUCAUUUGAAUUGCACUGGUUUUGUGAUUUCGUUUUCAUUUAAAGUUAUUCUUACUUUAUUGUUGCCUAAGUUGUAUGUAUAUAAGGAGCUAAUAUAUAAAAAUCAUAUUAUAGUAUUUAAACGACAUAAUAAAAAUAGUCUAAGUCAACACUGGA
ensembl:lncRNA